UAAAUCUACUAACUUUUCCACUUUGAAGGUAUGCAUAUUAAAAUCCACAACUUUUAUACAUGAUAAAUUCUUUUUGGACGAAUUUACAAGUUACAACAGCAUUGGUGGAUCACCCUAUAUAUUAUUUAUGGGAACCUGUAAAACACAAAUAUUAGAAGCACAUAUAUGCUGAAUCAUUGAGAAGGAUAUAUGCUGUAAAUUACCUCUAGAUAGUAAUUCCAUUUUGUAUUUGCCUAAUUACUUAGUUGCAUGCGAUUCUCUUGUACUCUCCAUGCAUUUUUUUCUCAGUUGUAUCAUUUGCAGAUUUGGAUGCUGCUAUAGCCAAACAUCUAUAUUCAUUGCAACAUUGCAAAAUUCUUCACCUGGUUUGCAACACUUUGACUUUAAUUUUGAUAUUUAAUUAAUUGAUUUCACCUAGGCUACUUUACUUAGAUAGUAACUAAUUUCAGGUAAGGCAUGGACAAGGGGUCCACAAUAUGGAAGGAAAUAAUGGCCCAGAAGCCUUAUUAUCUCAAGAAUUUUUUGAUGCACAGCUUUCACCUCUAGGGUGGCAGCAGGUGGAUAAUUUGCGGAAACGAGCUGAAGCAAGUGGACUUGCCCGAAAGAUUGAUUUAGUCAUCACAUCCCCAUUGUUAAGGUUAUUAUUGAUUUAAGUUAUAUUAUGACUUGAAACAAAAGAUCAGCAGUCAGCAGCUAGCACUGGAUUGUGUCUUGUGGGUAGCUAGCUUACAUAUGGUUUGUUAAUAAUGGGGGUUGCAGAACUUUGCAAACAGCGGUUGGAGUUUUCGGUGGGGAUGGUCAAAGCCAGACGGAUGGGAUCGAUGCGCAUCCAUCUCUGACGGCAACAGCAACUGUUAACUGCCCACCGAUUGUAGCGGUUGAGCUUUGCCGAGAACGUUUGGUACGUACGUUAGCUUUAAAUUGGUAUGUGCACAAGAAUCAACUUCCAUCACACAUGUAUAAUUCUGCUCACAGCCGCGUCAUCUGCUGCAUGCAGGGAGUUCAUCCAUGUGACAAGAGAAGAAGCAUCAGUGAGUAUCGGUCUCUUUUCCCAGCAAUCGACUUUAAAUUGGCAAGUACCUGAGCCGUUAUCAUCCAAUUCUCCAAUCCAUAGAAUUGAGUUAAGAAGAAUCUCUUAGUUGGUAUCACAAGUUUGUUCCUUACAAGUAAAUUUUGUUUUGUAUUGUUUUGCUCAGAUAGAAAGUGAAGAUGACAAGUUGUGGAAAGCUAACACAAGAGAGCCCUUCGAAGAGGUUGCAGCAAGGGGAAUAGAGUUCAUGAAAUGGUGGCUUACUUUUUUUUAAUGUUUUUUAUUUAUUUAUUUUUAUUUUUAAGUAACAUGAUCAAGGGCGCCAUGAAACUAAUAGCUCUCCUAUCAUACGUAUAGGUUAUGGACUCGACAAGAGAAGGAGAUUGCAGUUGUCAGCCAUGGGAUAUUCUUGCAGCAAACUCUGAAUGCACUUCUAAACGAUUGUCAAGCAUCCUUCAACCAAGAACUAUGCCCACGGUCGGUCAGCUGCAACUAUAUUUUCGAUAAUUUUUUUUCUUUUUUUUGCUCCUAUUGCAACUUCAAUAAAAAGACAAUUAUUUUUUUAACCCUCAACUGUUGUUUGUAUAAUAUGUGCUUUAGGUUUACAAAUUGUGAAAUACGGUCGGUGGUCAUCGUCGACAGGAGGUGAACAUUAGAUUCACACGACACAUUCAUUCUAACAUGACGCAUGCAUUCUAUUCUUACUAUAAACUAUGCUCAACAUUUUAAUUUUAAUUUUAAUUUUUUAUUUUUUUCCUAAAUCUACAGCAUAACGGGUUCAUGUUAUCCUGAAACUAUAUCCGGCGAGCUUCGUCUUCAUGGGGAUGCGAAAAUUCCGAGUGAAGAAGUAUCCAAUUAAUUGGCUACUAAUAUCCAUUUGAAACCAUAAUGUUUUUAACUACGUACGACUCCACGAGCUACUAAUAUCCAUCAAUAUGCGCGUGCAGCUUCCCACAAAAAGACAAGACUACUCCUAAUCAAGAAUUCUACAAUAUUUUUAACUCUUCAAAUGACUAAAUGAGGGGCUUUUUGUUAGUGUUGCAAAUAAUAAAAUAUACCUACCUUACUGUACAUUGUGUUCUUCCACCCUAAUUCAACAAAAUUUCUAAGACAAAAAACAAUUAAAUGUUCUGAUUUUUUUUUGUACUUAAAAAAAAAAAUGAACCAUUUGAUUAAUGAAAAAGAUUUUGCUUAGUGAGCUAGUGUUUCUUAGCAAUAAGCACAAAUACUACCAGAAUAGAAAGCAACAGAAAAAAACAGCUGCCAUGAUGUUGAAAUUAGCAGCCUUUACGGGUCUUUUCCUUUCUUCUUUCAAUUCCCUUCCUCUCUUGCGAAGAGCUAGAUCUCAAAUUGAAAAGGACUACUACAUCCCAAAAAGUUUUGCUAAUUAUCGAGGGUGCUUUUAUUUCAGUGUCCAAGUUUAAUGAGGAAUCAUUAAGAGCUUCCAUGGACAUUAACUCAACACAAUGUUCUCUAAGAGCCUAACGUAGCAUGAAAAACACAAAUCGAAACAAGCACUUGAAGCAAUGAAUAAGAAUAAGUCUUUAUUAUUUUAAUUAUUUUAAAAUUUAAAAAAGAUUUGGAUGAGGAUGGGAAACCUCAACCCCCAAACACCAACUCUUGUCCUUUCAUUGUACCAGAAAUUAUUGAAGUUAGUUUUAGAAAGAAGAGAGAAAUAGAGUUCAUAUUAUUAUUUUAGAAAUACAAAGCUCAAGUGUUUCGGAUGGUUGAAGGUAGUCCCAUAUAUAUGUAUCUGCCAACCAAGGCACAAAAACUCUUCAUGGAAAUGAAAGACGACAUGUUUUAUAAUAUUAACAAUAUAGUUAAUGAUAAAGUUGAUAAUCUCAAAAUAGUUGAAGGCUUCAACCAACAAAAAGAAUUACAUGAUUCAAAAUUUGCAAGCACACCUUCUGCAGAUGUAUCAUUUAAGAAUGGUAUAAGCAACUCAACUUCAUGCAAACCAUCUAUUGAGCAGGGCUCAUCAUUAACAACCUAAAAUUACAUAAAAUGUAAAGGAAACUCCUCAUUGUAAGUCAGUAUGGAAAGAAUGCAGUGUAAGACAAUUCUCAUUGAAAUUAUUGGGAAUUAUUAACUAAAUUGAAUACAAAUUGUAAAAAGGUCUCGCAAUAUGGAUGCAUUUUAUAAGCUUUAAUUUGAAUUCUUUGCGGGAUUAUAGAAAAUGAUUUCUAGUAGUUCCUAGAGUUAUUCUUCCAUAGUGAACAUGAAUUAGGCUCACCACAACAAAUUAGAAUGAAUAGUAGAAAGUAAAUUGCUUACAAAAUUUCCACUACAAUAGCUUUUGCACCUCUAAGCUCAUUAGCAUGAACUAAAAUUCUUUGGUGAAGAAUGUCACUAAAUGUUUGGACAUUUGAUGCACCCAUAAGCCUUAUCGGUAGUUUGCUAGAAUGUGGGAAACAUCAAAUUACUAUUAAUGCAAAGAUUAAUGAACUCUCAAAACUCAAUUGGUGCACCAAACAUGACUAUAUUUAUAGCAAUUAUGAUGAAAGCUCUCAAGCGCCAAUGCAAAUACAGUAAAACCUCUUUAUAGUUAUAAUGUUAGGACUAAACUAAUUUUAUUACUAUGCGAAAGUUACAACAAAAUAGAGAUAUAGUUAAAAAAAAUUAUUGUUUUGGACUUAGUUAUCCCUAAUAUAAUAGGAAUACAAUUUAUGAAAUGGUGACUUACCUUUUUAAUGUUUAUUUUUGUUUUUAUCUUUUUUAUUUUUAAGUAACAUGAUUAAGGGCGCCAUGAAACUAAUAGCUCUCUUAUUAUACGUAUAGGUUGUGGACUCAACAAGAGAAUGAGAUUGCAAUUGUCAGCCAUGGCAUAUUCUUGUAGCAAACUCUGAAUGAACUUCUAAACGACUGUCAAACAUCCUUCAACUAAGAACUAUGCCCACAGUCGGUCAUCUAUAACUGCAUUUUCGAUAAACUUUUUUUUUUGUUUGCUCCUAUUGCAAAUUCAAUCAAAAUGAAUUUUUUUUUAACCUUCAAUUGUUGUCUGUAUAAUAUGUGCUUUAGGUGUACAAAUUGUGAAAUACGGUCGGUGGUCAUAAUUAACAGAAUGUGAGCAUUAGACCCACACGACAUAUUCAUUCUAAUAUGACGCAUGCAUUCUAUUCUUACUAUAAAUUAUGCUCAAUAUUUUUUAUUUUAUUUUAUUUUUUUCCUAAAUCUGCAGCAUAACCUGUUCAUGUUAUCUCGGAACUAUAUCAGGUGAGAUUCAUCUUCCUUGGGAUGCAGCAAAAGAGAAUAUUCCUAUCGAGUGAAGAAGUAUCCAAUUAAAAAUGUAAAAUGUAAAAUGCUCCAACUACUAUGAGACCCUAGCAUUCUACCAGUGUAAAAAAAAAUUGAAGAAGAAAUAUAUCCUCUAACUAUUUUUUGAGCUAUAGUCGUGUAUUUUUGUAAGUUACAUAACUUUUGUCAUGUAUGUAUGAAUUUACACCACUGCAAUCAUGUAAGUGUGAAAAAUAUAGUAGCUAUUAUAACACCUAGCAUUCUAUUAGUGUAAAGAAUAUAUUGUUUUUACUAAAUAUAUCAUUUGACUGUUUACUAGACUACAUUUGUGUGUUUUAGCAAGUUACACAACUGUUAUCGUGUAAACGAGCAAUUACACGACUGCAAUCGUGUACAUGGGCAGGCGGUUCCACACUUUGUUUUAUGCCUUGUUUGAUUUUGAUUUUGAUUUUAUAUUUGUUGUAUCAUUACACAAAAUGACUUCAAUACAUGCGCCUAUUAUGUUUUGUGGUGAAUGAAUUAAGUAAAAUGACUAUUAUAGAUUUAAUGGUAUAAAGGCAAUAAGGAUCAUGGUGCCUCAUUCUACAACAUAUGCACAAUUGAUAGAAAUAAUAUUUAGGUUUAUUUUCAUUGAUUUUUUUGAAUUUGACAUUGAAAUGAAGUUCAAGCUUAAAACAUUCGAUCUAAUGUCGUCCGUUCCAAUUUUGACUGAUGAUAAUGUAGAUUAUUUUCUAAAGGAAACGAUUAGUAGAGCUGACUUGAACAAUUCGCUUUGUAUUACCUACAAACGAAAAUAGAUUUUAAAGACACUUAUUCCUGAUGUUGACUUUAACUUUAAGCCAUAUAGUUGUCCACAAGAAACCGUUGAGCUAUAUGUUGGAGGUGAAAGUUUAAGUCGAAAUAAUUUUUUUGCUAAAGAUUAAUCAGAAUUCAAAUUUGUUCCUAAAACACAACCUAUUGAUAGAAGGGUGCUGAAUUUAGAAAAUGUGAAUGUUAUUGUUCUUGAUGAUUUUGAUGAGAUAAUAGUUAGUAAUCAACAGUCGAGAAUGUAACACCUUGCAAUAUGAGUUUCUAUUCCUCUAAUAGUAUAUAUAUGCCUGUAGUCAAUUUGUUUGCAUGCAGUAAUUCAUUAAAUAACGAUAACUCGCAUUCGAAUAGUAAUAACUUGCCAUCCAUGAGUGUUGUUGGUAAUAGUGAUAUGUUAAUGGUGAAAAAGUUGUUCGAUUCGUAAGAGGAGUUACAAGAAGUUCUUUCUAUGGAAGCUUUAAGGAGAAAUUUUAAGCUUAAAACCUUUAAGGUAGGGAAGAACAUACUUCUUGUUAGAUGUAGUGACGAUAAUUGUAAGUGGUUACUCCGUGCUACCAAGCUUGAAAGUUUGAAUAUGUUUGAAAUUAGAAGGUAUUAUAACGUUCAUACUUCUGCACUUGAUGUUCGUAAGAGAUAUCAUCGUCAUGCUUCAUUCAUACUUCAUCUUCAUAGAGGCCUAGUGAGAUUAGAUAAGAAUGUCAGAAACAGUUUGAGUAUAAAAUAAGUCAUUACAAAGUAUGGGAAGCAAAAGAAUAUGCAAUGGAGAAAGUUAGAGGCACGCUUGAGGAUUCAUUCAAAUUAUUAUCUUCCUAUAUGGUAAUGUUGAAGAAGAAAAUUUUAGAUACAUGUAUAUUUCUUAAAGUUAACAAUGUAAAUAACUUUAAAUAUUUUUUAUAGCAGUUGGAAGCUAUGUACAUGGAUUCAUUUCAUCAAUAAGGUCAGUCAUUACAAUUGAUGGUACAUUCUUAAAGGGAAAAUUAAAAAAAAAAACUUUGUUCUUUGUGACAACACUUGAUGAUAACAAUCAAUUUUAUCAUGUUGCAUAUAGUAUCAGUGACAGUGUGAACGAUGCCUCAUAAGGGUGGUUUCUAAAAACUUUAAAGGAAGCAAUAUGUGAAAUUCUUAAUUUGGUUUUCAUUUCCGACCGACACCUAAGUAUGAAGAAAAAUAUUAACAUUGCAUUCCCAGAAGCUGUAUAUGAUAUUUGUACGCAUCAUUUGAAGCAAAAUUUAUGUGCUAAAUUUAAAGAAAUUGAGCUAAAUGCAAUUGUUAAACUAGUUGCAAAGGCCCAUCGAUCACAACAAUUUAACUAUUUUACGAAUGAGAUACAAAAGGUCAAUGAAAGAUUGCAAAAUAUCUUUAUGAUGUAAGAUAUGAGAAAUGAGCUUGUUCUCAUUUUGAUGGGUUGCAUUAUAGUAUUAUGACAACCAACAUAACAUAAUCCAUGAACUCUGUCCUUAAAAAUCCUCGAGAAUUGUCAAUUUAUAAGUUAUUGGAUUUGAUCAUUGAUAAACUACAAGAGUGAUUUUGUGAUAGGCGAAAAGAGACAAUUAAUUGUCACACUCGACUAACAAAAUAGACUGAAAAAGAAGUUGGUUAGAAAAUCAGAGGAUUCCUGUACAUAUAAAGUGGUGGCACUAAAUAUGUAUGAAUUUAUUAUUAAAUAUGAUGACCUUGAUAGUCAUGUCAACAUUCUUGACAAGAUAUAUAGUUGCCAGGAAUUUCAACUCGAUCAACUACCUUAUGAACAUGUAUUAGCUGUAUGUAGGUGCCAAUAAACAUUGCUUGCAUAUGAUAUGUGCUCAUAUUACUAUUCAAUGAAGUUUGAGUUGCAAUAUAAGCAUAAAUAAUCUAUCUUGUUGGUGCGCAAGAAGAAUGGUAGGUUUCAUAUGAAGUGCGUAAUAAUAAGAUUUUACCCCUUAUGGAGAAGCAGAAAAUGGUCGUCCACAAGAAAUUAAAAUAGUAUUAUAAGGUGAGGAGAAGUUAUGUUGUAAGUGUGGUAGGUGCGAUUAUAUAAGACACUAAUUCCACUGUCUGACAAUAAACCUGUAAUUGAACUGAAUAAAACAAAAACAAGUAUGUGUAGUAGCAACUUUUGUUCACUUAAAACUUAUUUAUGAUUCUAACAUGUGUUGGACCUAUGUUGUUUGAUGUAGAAAAGCUUUCGUUAUUUGAUGUAUUGAAGUUUGAUGUGUUACAUUAAUUGUGUUGUUUAUCAAGUACGUUGAUUGUGUUAUCAUUUUGAUGAGUGCUUUAGGUAGUUUUUAUUCCUUAUCCACGUACUCGACUAACGUUGUAUAUUUAUGAAGUUACUUGAUUGUUGUCGUGAAUCGACGAAGUUUACUCGACUAUAGUCAUUUAUUAAAAGAUGAAUCAUUGAUAUGUAACUGAUGGGUAAUGAUUUAUAAAUGUCAAAUGAUUAAGAAUAAUUGGUGUAUCUAUGAAGAUACUCGACUAUAGUCACGUGUAUCUAGAAAGAUACUCGACUGUAGUUAUGUAUCUAUGAAGGUACUGGACUGUAAUCGUGAACUUAGGUUGAACAUUCCUUCAAUGUUUAUGAUUAUCCAGUUAUAUUACAUAUAUGAUGCAAAACUACCUUCAAUUCUUUCAAUAAUAAACUUAACAAAAAAUAAAGCUUAUAUAUGAUGCAAAACUAUCUUCAAUUACAUCAAAUGUCAAUUGCAUCUCUAUUGUAACUGUUACAUAUGACAAUAAUUUAUCCAAAAAAUGAAAAAAUCAUUGUAAUAAAGUUCUUUAGGGUAUGACACUAGGUCGUUGGUUUCACAACCUAUGUCCAAAUAAUUUGACAUGCAAUGCUUUUCGAUAACAUCACCGUGUUGGCAAUAUGUGUUGACAUCAAGGCCAUGGGCUAGAAUCUCCAAGUACCGUAACAAAAAUGCUCUACAGUCACCACUAAGAAAAUUCAUAUAUAUCAAUAAUAAAAUCACCAUUUUAAUUAAAAAAAACCAAUAAAUAAUGUGCUCAAUUGUAUACCCUGAUUUUUGUUGCGGGAUAUUUCGUACUCGCAAGAUGGGCCAAUGGACUUUUGAUAUGACAUCAGCACAAUCUGGAUGUGUUUUGUGAUAUGAUAUCUUUUGAAAUAGCAGAGGUAUCGUGUCUACAACAUGUAGCAAUUGUUUGACCAAACUUUAAUCUUUUGUAGUCUAUUAUAGAGUCAUAAACAUUAAUCUUACCCGCAGAUAUAUCGACCACCCUAAAAUCCAAUGCUUAUUCAUAAGUAUCGACAAAUAUACCUGCAUAGUUUGGGCAAUAUUUGAGGAACGAAAUGCCACAUAAUAUAAAAAAGAAUGUCAAACUCACUGUCGAAACACUUUUCUAAAAAGUGGCGUAGUCUAAUUUUGCACCAUUAGUGUAAUCAAUGCAAUAACUCCCCUUUUCUGACACCUUAUCCGGGUUUUCCAUGUACAAUAUAUCAUCUCUUAUUAUUUUUAGAGGUUAAGGAAAAUGUAUGCAAAAUUAAUCAUACCAGAAAAUUGUUGUCCAUAAUGGCAUAAAAUUGUAUGUUUGGAGUCGUAGCGCAGGACAUAUCUUUUCUUAAGUAGUACCAUGCAAUGUCGAUAUGCUGAAUAUAAAAUGUGAAUUUUUAUUUAGGAAAUAGCAAAUAUUUAUAAAAAAAUGAUAAAAACAAAUUGUGCUAAAUAACUUAUAAAAUUAGAUAACCAUGUGUCUGGUGUAUAUAAUUUAUGAAAACAUUCUCUAUCAAUAUCCAUAAUAGUCAAAUUGAUAACUUUCAUGUAUAGAUAAAUGACAAUGACUAAAGGUGUUAAAUAAAUAUACAUUAUAAUAAUAAUAAAAUAAAAAGUUAAUAUCAUAAUAUGAGAUAACUUACGACUCUUUUUUUAUCAUUGGUGAAAUCCAUCCAUCGCUGCAGCUCCAGUAAUUCCUCUCAGGGUAUAAGGGGAUGCACUUGAAAGUCUAUUGUCUUUUGAGGGUGCACCUCAACAUCUGUUGUCUCUUGUGACUUUUUUAAGCGAAUGGUGUACAAUGUACGUAAGUAAGUCAAAGUUUUUGUUUCUCUUCUCUUCCGUAAAUUAUAUACUAAUCUAUAAUCUUUUUCUUGCGUUUAGAUGACAAUUAGAUCCCUUCUGUACCAUGACAAUUAUCUAGCAUUUUUAAUAGGAGUGUAUCAUUUGUUGUACUACAAAUAUUGAUGAGCAUGUCCAAUGGUUGUUAUAUUAGUGAGACAAAUGUGACGUCCAUAGGAUCAUUUAUAGGCCACAGACACAACAACUAAAUUGUUUGAGAAUUUAACAAACACACAUACUCAAUGAACAAAUAUUGACAGUUUUAUAUAUCAAACCACAUUACCAUAAGUAAAUUGUCUGCUUAAUAAAUUUAUUACAUUAAAUAGAAAGAUUACGGUAAAGAUGAAUGGGCUCCCUUGAAAUCACUAUAUUUCAACAAACAUGCAAGUAAAAAUUUAGAACUAUCAAAUUUCAUAUACGCAGCUAGUGAGCUAGCACACCAAAAUAUACGUUCUAGCUAGUCUAAGGGAAUACAACAGAAAAAUUUACAAUUUGAUUUUUGUAAGUUUGUGGUCGUAAAAAAGAGAUAAAGUUCGCUGAGUUAUUAACUAGACCCAUUCAUCCAAUUAGUCAUGUACACAAAUGUUAUGGCAUGUAAAUGCAAAGCUCUAUUUAAGAUUGCUUGAAACAAAAAUCAAGAAAAAUAAUGUCAAAUGGCAGACGGAAAAUUCUUAAAUUCUUUUUGUUAGAACGAAUAUUGGCAGAUAUGGUUUCGUAAAUUUCAAAGCCUAAUACUAUCAGUAAAACAAGCUAAAUUGCCAAGACACCCAAUAGUCCUUGUAAUUAAAGAGAUUAAAGAACAAUUACUGUUACUUAAUCACAUUGCAAAUUAAACAUGUAUUCUUAAUAUCAAAACAAAAUGCAAAAGGAAAAUAGCUGACCAAAGGUCCCAUAUGAUUAAUAGAAAACUACUGACUGCAUACCCAAUCAAAGGACCAGCAGUGGAGCAAAACCCACAAAGACUCUGAAGUAAAACCGUGAAGUAGUAGUAGGAAAAGCGUUGUCAGAGUUGGCCUUACCUAAUAGCCCACUAGAACGACACUUUAUUCUUUGUUUUCUGUUUUGACCAGUAAUCUUCAAGUAGGUUGGAAUUAAGGGAAAUUUUGGUACGGUGUACGGUGGUCGUGAGUGAUAAAUUGUGCGUUGUGUAUGCAGGUUGUGAAUGAUUUUAAAGAAUUAGGUUUUGAGUUAGGGUAAUUCGGUAAUUGCAUAUAUGAGGAAUUUUGAAGUAUGAGAGUGUAUUUAGAUAAAUAUCCUACUUUUAGGGUAUGUCACAAACAAAUACCUAACAUAUAUACCUACACAAGUAAGCUCGCUCAUCCACCCUACUGUGCACAUACUAAUCACUAACUUUUAUUAAGAUAGCACAAUAGUACUGCAGGAUUAGGUACCUCCUAGGAUUAUAGCAAAUGUGUAUAGGCAGCCUUCAUCUGAAACAAUCUCCAAAAUAGGCGCAGCUUUGACAACUACAUUUACUGUCCACAAAGUAGCAUUAAAAUGUUAAAUCACUAGAAAAUAAAUCAUAAUGAUAAAUAAAUAAAUAAAUAAAAAACAUAUGUUACCAAGCAUUUUUUUUAAAUAACAAAGACUUUCGCUAAAAUUUACGGUAUUAGCCUCCUUAAGUUUAUGCUAUAUAUGUUGUUGCCUCUUAAUUUUGUUAUUGCUCAAUUAUGACCCCACUAGGCACUGGCAUUGCAUCAUUUGCAUUAGCUCAAAAUUCUCUAGAAAAAGUAAUGUACCUGGCAAAGCUCCUUUUUGAAACUGUAAAUGCUCCUCGUGAUUGUUGAGGAUAUUGCAUAGUUAGUAUAUUUCCCUCCAGUCUUGUUUUCUUGUUGAAUAAAAUGCAUACGGACAUCUAAUGCACACAUUGGUAAGCAACUAUUGCAGAUUUUAUAUCAAAUCAAUUCCUUACAAUUUCCUUGCCUCUUCUCAUUUCAAUUGUUCCGGGUUGUGGACGCGGAAAGAGAAGGAGAUUGCAGUUGCUACUCAUAGUGGAUUUUUAUAUCAUACCCUGAAGUGCUUUUGGAAAUGAUUGCCAUCCAUCUAUAAAGAGUGAAAUACUCACACAGUAAGUGUUACCCUCAUUUGUUCAUCUGCAAUUGUCUGUAAACAGCUUGAAACGUGGGUUACCAUAUAUAUAUAUAUUGUUUUGAAGGAAUUUAAUAAACCUAAGUGUUGAACUUCGUGCUUGAUGUGCUAUUUUAAGCCAUUUGGUUGGUGCCUGACUCUCCUCCAUUCUGCUGAUUCCUCAUUUACUUUUCUAAGCCAUCUGCUAAUAAUUUCUCGCUGCAAGAUAUCGUUUUGAAACUGCUGGUUCAUUUCGUAAGACUGGUAGCUGGAUAUGACUUUCUUUGCUUUUCGUUAUGUGCCUGUUUUCUGUUGAGCUCAAAGUUUUUCAUUCAUAGUUUUGUAAAAUUUGUAUGGUAAAUAAUGGUAGCUUUGAAUUAACCAGAUGGCCAGUUUCUGUUUUUAAGUAUUCUUCUGCGGUACGGUUUUUAUCUUAAAUUAGUCAUCUGGGGUAGUAAAAUUAGAUGGCUCUGUUCCAGGCGUGGGUUCUAGUCUCCCGAGGAGAUUGAAUAACCUCUUCAAUGUUCUUCCUUGUAGCAAUUACCAGCUGAAAAAUUGAUAGUAGGGGAAAUUUAAAUUUGCGGCAAAGAUUAAACAUAUCUCACUGGUUUUAUACACAAAUAUAUGUUGAUUUGGCUCAACUACUUGCUAGUAUGCUUUCUGCUAUCUGUCUGCAGCUUUGCUAAUUGCGAACUUCGCUCAAUGGUUAUUGUUGAUAGAAGGUGAGCAGGUUAAGUAUAUAAUUUCGUGAGAACUUGCUGUCCAGCCUAUGCACAACUCAUGUUUUCCAACUGUUGUUGCAAAAUAAUAAACUUAUCUUUUUUGUUGCAGCAUGAUUGGCUCAGAUGCGCCAACAACAAACCACCCAGGAAAGAUUCCUAGCGGUGUUGAUCUUCCUAGUGAUGUUGCUGCUGAGAAGCAUCCGAAGCAAGGAGCAUCUCAGUAAUCAUAGCCUGGGCCUGGGGUGAUACAUUGAUCGAACUGGAUUAUGAAUAUGAUGAUAUCAAGAUUUUCAUGUGAAUCACUGAAAUAGCUAUAUCAUCCAACUAAAAAGAUUUUAUGAGCUUGCAAGCUCAGUUACCCACUGUCAAGAUUCUUUCUUGGUACAGGCGAUGCGUUAAGUUUUUAAGACUAGGCGCCUAUUCUUAAUAGGAUGUAUGAAAAUGAAUUAUAUGUUAACUCAAAGAGACAAGAACCCUAGAUCAUUCUUAUGAUUAUUUUGCUCGUGAAGAAUAAUUUCAUCAAGAUUUGCAUCAUCUUGAUGUUUCCUUUUUAUUUGCACUUAUUUAUUUAUUUCCAUCUUUCCCUAUUACCUCGAUUUUAAUUGGUCAUUUCGUACAUUCUUAUAUAUAUUGUGAGUACCAUUGGGAACGGAUGCUGCUAAGUCUAAGUACCAUUAGGUAUGGGGUAGAAAUAAACAUGAAUAAAUCAAUUGAUCUACGUAAUUGCAAAGAAUAAUCAUUUCAAGUUUGAAGUUCAAAGUCCAAGGAAAUAUCUUUCUUUUGAAUCUGUUCAAACUUCAAACCAACCGAAGAUGGUGAGAGUCACAAAGGAAGAAAAAAAGCAAUGGAGACCCCAAUUUAAAUAUAUGUUAAUUGAGACUACGGGGAAUAGAGGUUUGUCUGUUGCAUGAAUUAAGAUGCAGAAAAUAUUAAACACGCUUUCAGAAAAUUCUCAAUAGGUCUCAGGAAUUUGGUCCAGCGAUUACGUUAAAGGCACAAAAUAACGAAUCAAAGUUGAUAGAUGUAAAAAUCAAAGUAAACCCGCCCAUCUCACACUUCAUUUAUUAUAUAUAUGUUGCUCACAGCAUUUAUUGUCCUCCCAUACUCAAUUGUGUCGUAAAACAUUUUCCCAAUUUCAAUUCAAUACUACCAGUACGAAUCUUUAACUUGUUGUUUCUAGCCAACGCUCUUUCCAUUUCUCAUCAAUUUUUGACACAAGACUUUGCAGAAAUGGUAACUGCCCAAGCUCAGUUUCUGUACUCACCAAACAAUUGCAAAAUUCUACACAUGGUGAGGCACGGACAAGGGGUUCACAAUAUGGAAGCAGAGAAGAAUAUUGAUGCAUUAUUGUCUCCAGAGUUGUUUGAUUCACCAAUCUCAGCAUUGGGUUGGCAGCAGGUUGCUGAUCUCCGCAAGUACGUUCAUGCAACCGGACUCUUAAAGCGGAUUGACUUGGUCGUCACUUCCCCUUUGUUAAGGUCGAAUCAUUAUCAUCACAUACAUCGCCCCAAUUUCAUUUUUUAAUCGCAUGCCUCUCCCAAGUGUUUGAACUCCCGCGUGGUCAGCUAAGUAAUGCUGCUUCAAAACCACGCAGGCGAAAUAUAAUGGCUUAACUAACAAUUGUAUGUUUGGAAUUUGGCAGGACCAUGCAAACAGCAGUUGGAGUGUUUGGUAGCGAAGGAGCAGAUGCAGGAUGGAAGUCAAAUUGCCCACCCAUUGUAGCUCACGAGCUUUGUCGAGAUCGUUUGGUAUUAAUUGUUUACUUGCAUUAUAAUUAAUUAAGAAAAGGCUAACAUAUAUAUAUAUAUCAUGUAUAUUAAUAAUCAUGUAACUAACUCCAUUUAAUCAACACACACACCAAUUUUGUUCUGAUUUUAAUUAAUUAAUUGAUUAAUUUUGUUCAUCAGGGCCUUCGUCCAUGUGAUCAGAGGAGAAGCGUGAGUGAGUGUCGAUCUCUUUUCCCAGAAAUCGACUUUUCACUGGCAAGUAUAUUAUGCUUUACCGAUAAAUUAAUUAAUUAAUGUUGUUGUGUUUUGAAUACCAUCCACGUUAAUUAAUUAAUUAUAAAACCAUCAAUUAAUCCGUAACUUUUAUUUACUUAUUUAUUUAUUAAUGCAGAUGGAGAGUGAAGAAGAUGAUAUGUGGUAUCCUGAAGCCAGAGAGCCUUAUGAAGAUAUCGAAGCCAGGGGAAUUGAGUUUCUCAAAUGGUGAUUGAAUUUGAACAUCAUCACAUGCAUAUACAUAUAUGCAUUAAUUUUUCUUUUUUUCUUUUUCUAUCAAUUAAUUAAUUAAUAUUAAGAAUGAAAUUAGUUAACAAAUUUAAGCUGGGCCGGUUAUUAAUUAAUUUACAUGUACAGGCUGUGGACACGGCCGGAAAAGGAGAUAGCAAUUGUGAGCCAUGGGGUAGUGUUGCAACAUUUUCUCUAUGUUUUAGAAAAUGACAGUGCUGACCCGUCCGUGAAAACUGGUUUGUGCAGACGGUGAGAACAACUACUAGUACCAGCACUUAUUCAUAUUGGCUUCCUCUGCUUUAGCCUUUUGGCUUGACUUUUAUAUCUUUGACCAAAUCCAAAAAUCACGUGUAUUUUUUUAUCUAGCUAAGCUACUUUCCACAUUGGUGGCUGACUGCAUAUGCUUAAUUAAUGUUGUUAAUUAAUUAAUUCUGUAGGAAUGAAUAAUCUUUUUUUUUUUUUUUAUGUGCAUGCACUCAGCUUUAACAAUUGUGAGCUUCGUUCUGUUGUCGUCGUCAACAAAGGGUACGUCAGCUUCUCAUUUGCAACAAAUAUGAAUCAAUGCUCUGAAAUCUAUCCGUCUAAUUAUUCCCAAAAGGCUCACCCUUUACUUAAUUAAAUUUGCAGGAUGAUGGACUCAGAUUAUAUUCCCUCGGCAACUAAUUAAGUAAUAAUCUACUUUGCAUCAACUCCUUCUUGCGGUUAAGUGGUCCGCCAGCUUCCCAACUCAACGAUGACGUGACUAUAAAUUGUUUCAUUUAUUCAUUUUUUUUUUCUUUUUUCCAUUGGGAUUCUCUCUCACUCUCCGUCCAACCCAAGGAUCGAUGAUAUGACGACUAGAUAUAAAUUGCUUCAUUUAUUCAUUAGUUUUAUUAUUUUCCAUAAGGAUUUUGUAUCCAAUUGAAUACUUUAUUUGUUGUUAAUAAGAUGCUGUCAUACCCUUUAUGUAAUGAAUCCCGUCAAAAUUUUAUAAGUAUUUUGUUGCGGACCGCCUAAGUUGCUAGUCCAAUUACCCACAAUUUCGGAGAAACUUGCUAGCUUCAUCUUUCUUUUUCAUCUUUGUUCCAAUAUUUAUUCAUUCGUUUUUCUAUCACGUUAACACUAAAGCCUAAUAAUUAUGUCUUAAUAAAAUUAACUUACAGUACUUACUCUUUUUUGAGUUAUCACAACUCUCAAAGCGUUUAUAUAUAUGUUGAAACCUUGUCCAUUGUUAUCCUUAACUAUUUUGGAUCUCAACUUAUAUGUGUUUUAAUUAUGGGAUAACAAAAUCAAGCAUUGCUACUAAUAAGUGUCAUGCUAGUAUAAUAGACUUAUAAAGGUUGUGUUAGGUAAGUAACAAAAAUUGGCUUGAAAGCAAGAGAAUUUUAAAAAUGACAGUUACUUUUUUUUUUUAAUUACCAGCUCUUCAUGCUGCGUUAGUUGAAUCUUAGUACCUUAAAAUUAUUCCUUUACAUCUCUUCAUAAACUCAAGGAUCUGGAAUUGAUAUUAAGUUGGAGGAGCUUUAAUUCUCAACAACCCAAAAAAUGAAAAAAGAAAAAAGAAAAAGGACGAAGCUUUUGCUCAAAUAUCAAUUACUUGGUCAUGAUGCAUAAUAUAUUUCAAUAUAAAUUUAUCAUUUAAUGGAUAUAUGACAUCUUUUAUGACUAGGAGCAAAACGAUAAUUUUUUUUAGUUAGGUCAUGUUGAAAUUAUUUAAUUUAGUCGAGGUAUUAAUAAUUUAUAUAAUUUUUAAUAUAGUUUUUACAAUUUUCGUUAAGGUUUGAUGUAGUACGCAUUUAAUCAAACAUUUUAUUGAGAGUUUUAUGGAAGAAAGAAUAGCAGAAAUACUCUCAUGAAUCGCAUUACAUUAAAUUGUCAUAUUAGAUUGAAAACUUAACUUGAGAUAAUUAUAUUACAAAUCAAAAUAUUUAAUGAGGAGAAGGAAAAAAAUUCAAGCAUAUACUAUGUGUUAAUUAAUUUUCUUGUCGUUAAAGUUAAAAUGUAAAUAUAUCUCAAAAGGAAAAAAUUAUAAUUUAGCCAAAAAUUAGGACAGGAUACAAUUCGACCCAACCAACAAUAGCUUUGCUGCAGGGCCGCAGAUUAUGAUAAAAUCUUUUGGAAAAUUAGUAAACAAUUGCUUUUUUUUUAGGAAAAAAUCAUUCUCAUCUCUACAGUCUCAUGCAAUAGUUCAUUUCAUCCUUACUUUUUAAAUAAUAGCCCAAAACAUCCUUUUGUUAACUUACUGUUAGUUGAAUGUCAUUUGUUAAUAAUUUAUUAAGGGUAAAAAAAGAUUUUCUAUCAAAGAAAAAAUUAAAAAAAUAAAUAAAUAUUGACAUAUAACUAAAAAUAAUUUUAUCUAAUCCCACUAAAUAAGAAAUAUCUAAAAAGAUGAAAAAUUUAUAUUUCAAGCAAUUAUUUUUUCACUUAUUUCUAUUUUGGCGGCAUGAAAGCUCUAUAAACCCUAGAUUUAAGUACCAAAAAUAUCACAAUUUUCUUAUUCAUAUAAGUAUACUCUCUAAUUGCACUGUAAAAUGGUUUGAAUUGAGUUGAAGAUAAAGAAGAUAUUCAGUACAUGCAAGCACAUAAAAAUUGGUGGCAUUUUUGAGUUUUUCUUUCAAUGAUUUAAAGAUAUUGUGUUAAUUACAGUUUGUUCCUUAUGGCAAUUAUUCAAUGGCUAUAUCAAACUAUAUCAUCGUUGAUUUCAUUUAAGAAAAAAAUUAAUGAAUUUUACAUACUUUGUAGUGCUAUUUAAUUGUGUAAAAAAUAUUUUAAUAUAGUUUGUAUCACUUUAAUGAAAAUUUCUAUUUUGCCCUCAAUGAAUAACUAGUUAACGGUUUUAUACUAACGGUGAGUUAAUAGAUGGAUAUUUUAAGAUAUUGUUUGAAAAGUAGGAAGGAAAUUGGCUAUUGUAUUAAACCCUAGGGAUGAAAAGAGUUUUUUCCCUUCUUUUUUUUUACAUUGAUAUCACAAUCAGACUAUCUCAUAUUGCAUGAGACUAUUACUGAUAUUUAUAAAUUAAACUAUUAUUAAGACAAGUUUACAUUAAAUUUUAUGAAGUAUUGCCUAAAUGUUUUUUUAUCAUUCCUAAUAUUUAAGGGACGUUAACUUCACUCAUAUUCAAACUAUUAUUAUGAUAAGUUUACAUUAAAUCCCAUAAAGCACUGCCCAAAUUUUUUAUCUUUUCCAAUAUUUGAAGGAUGUCUACUCCACUUGUAUUUAGUAGGGAAAAUAUCCACCGUCUACCCGUUUUUUCCAACUUUUUCAAAAAUACACAAUUCUUUUUUUUUUUGCUGGAAUCCACCUGAAAUUGCGUUUUGUUUCACUUUUCCACUUCCGUUUGGAAUUCGUUAGGAAAACUAACGGAAACUUAGUCAAAUGACUAUUUUACCCCCCCCCAAACUUAGUAAAACACUAAACUAAUCAAAAGAAAUAAUCUUCUUCUCCUCCUCUACUUUACUAUCCUUGCUAUGGUCGCCCGAGUCGUCUUCAUCGUUAUCAUUAUCGUUGUCAUCUACUUCUUCAUCGUCAUCAUCUUCCAUCACUUCACAAGGUGAAUUCUGCUUCAUUCUUUUCAAGGCACCGUCUUGCCACUCGUCUGAGCAGCAACCAGGUCUUUACGCAUAGAGCUGGUCAACUCGAUGGAUGAUCCUUUCAGCGCCGUUUUGAAAACCGUGACAUUGUUGCUCGGCUGGUAAAACUGAGGCCAGACGCUGUCGCAUAAGCUGACGUCCUUGUAGUAGACCUCCACCGAGCUGCCUCUCUCGUAGUAGAUGCCGAUCUUGUCGUCGACGGAGUAGUUGGGCGCUUCGGGACGGAAGAUGAGGUAGAAGAUGCCGGCGACGAUGGCCAAGAGGAGGACGAGGAGAAGCAGCGAGCAGCAGCAGAAACAGAAGCAGCAGCAGGUAGUGCUGCUGGAUUUGCGGCGGCGGGAGCACGAGUGGCAGCUUGUUCGUUGACGUAGGUUCCUGCGGCCGCGAGCGCCGGUGGAUGUGAGGGCUCUUGUUCGUUGCGCGGUGUCGUUUUGGGGUGGAUCCUUUCAGCCAUUUUGAGUAGCAGCUAGCGCUACAACUGAAGAAAAUUAAAAGAGUCAGCUCUUUUGCCCUGAGAGCUUUUUCUGAAGAAAAUUACGAAGUUGUUGAAUAACAAAAGGAGAUCUCUAAAGAUUUUUUGGAAACAAUUGGAGUAAAGCUCUCUGUCAAGCCUGGAUUGAAUUGUUCGAAGAUCAAUGUGUUGUAAACGACGUCGUUUGGGGUUGCUUUGCUGAAAUGACCGAUUUACCCCUACGACAUCAGUAAUGUUAUAACGGAUUCCAAACAGAAGUGGAAAAGUGAAACAAAACGCAAUUUCAGGUGGAUUCCAGCAAAAAAAAAAAAGAAUUGUGUAUUUUUGAAAAAGUUGAAAAAAACAGGUGGACGGUGGAUAUUUUCCCUAUUUAGUAAGAGAGAAAAUUAUCUCUACUUAAUUAUUUAAUAAUUGAGAAAUGAUUGAAACCUCCUAUAACGUUUUUAUGGAGGGUUGAACUGUGGAGCAACUGCUCUAACCUCUCGGCCUUGGCUUGUAAACACUUACAUAUACUAACAUUAAAUAAUUUUUUUAUUUUUAAUUGACAAUACUAUCCGAAAUCUCUUUUUGCAAGACAAAAAAUUAGAUAUGUUCAAUUUCAAGAUGAAGCAAGUAACACCGAAAACAUAAAUUACAAAAGUCACGUAUACAUUUUCUUUUUUAUGGGUUUAGUUUUAAAUUAGGUAAUUAUUAAUUUAUACAAUGAGUAGGCCUUUUGAAAAAAAUAUGAAUUAUUAAAAUUUUAUUAUCUUAUAAAUUUAUCGAAUUAUUAAUUUACGAUGCUGGCCCCAAAUCAGGAUUGAUAAAAAUUGUUAUUUAAUUAAGAUAAUCAACUUAUUGAAUAUUAAUUUUAUACCAUAGAACUUCAAUUGAUUAAUACUUAAUAAAUUAUGAUAAGGAUUUUGCUAUGUUACAUUUAAUGUAACAUACACAACCCACAAGAACCACACAAUUAUGGGGUCUCACAAUUUAUGUGGUUCUUCUAGGUUGUGUAUGUUACAUUAAAUGUAACAUAGAGACUCCCUUGUGAUAAAGACUUAAAAGCAAGUAACCUUGGUAAUCACGUUGUUGGAAGACUUUUAAAGCCAGUAACGGAAAGAGAUUGGUAUGGUGUCAAUUCCAAUUCCUAUUUUAAGACAUGGAAAUUAAUGGAAUCAUGCGAGUAACACAAAAUAAGUCCAGCAAAAGCUCCUUCCAUGCAAUUACAGGAAUUUAGGUCGGAAAUUUAAUACGUGUUUACAAUUCCAUGCUUACAAAUUAAUGGUGAAUGAACGUUACAGCUGGCAGCUGGAUUUUGGAUCUUCUGUUGUAUGCCUCUGUACUGUUUACAAGACCUAUUCCACUUAGGAAAUUAAUCCAUCUUACAAGUCAAGCUGCGGAAGCCAAGCAGUUCCGAGAGAUAUAAUGAACAUAGUGUUGAUGAAUCCAUUAAUCAAUUAUUUAUUCCAUGUAUAUUUUUUAUUUGUUAAGAAAACUCCUCCCUGCCAAAUCCAUUUGCAUUGGCCUUAAAUUGACUUACUGCCAACUAAAAUAUUACAGUAAUAACACAUUGGCGAAUUAUUAAUUACAAAAUGCAAAGUUGGAAAUGACUUGAAAAUUGGAAUAAUAAUAUUUGUAAUUGCCUCUCGAGUGUCAUGGCAAUGUCGCAGAAGCAGGCAGACGCUUUCAUAGAAGCUUCUCUGUGGAAGUACUUUUCGUCCAAUGCAUGGAAUUUAUCAGAGUUUUUGUCUCUGACUAAAGCUCUCCAAUUCCAAAGAAAAGUCAACUGAUUUGUAAAUAUCAAAUCAAACUAUAUGUGUAUAUAGAUAUACAUCAUAUGCCACACAACACCACCACCAUUGACAUCGAUCCUUCCCAGCUUUGCUUUCUAUUUGACAUAUAUAUAUAUAUAUAUUUAUAUUUAUAUAUCCAAUAAUAAUAACAAUCCAAUAUAAAAUUGUCUUCCGGUUGCCUUCCUGUCCCAGCUCCCUCUCCCGCUCGUUUCGUCUGUGUUAUUAUUAUUAUUAUUAUUAUUUUCCAAAUCUAAUAUCUGGAAAAAAAAAUGGAUGCUUUUGCUGCUUUAUUUCGAGGCAAGACUUUCGUUGUUUCUCCUCUCUCUGGUAUGUUAGUUAUCUCCUAUUUCUUCUGCGGCCAGUUGGGAAGCGUAUAAUUGUUAUGUUGCUUCUUCUGAUUAGCCAUCUGUUUGUUGCAUGUUACUUUGCAAGGUGCUUUUGCAGUUCUUGCUUAAUUAAUUAACAUAAGAUAUGGACAUUCACGGUCUAGAUUGACUCGGUACCGGUUUGAUCUCUUCCAUGCUAAUUUUUUAAAAUGUUGCGAUUGAGGACUGUUUGGUAUUAGCGUAUCCGUAUUGUAGUUGGGUAACUAUAACUUUUAAACUACAACAAAUAUUUGAUAAAAUUUCAUUUAAAUUAUAUUUAUAUUUGUGGUAAUAGUACUACCAAAAAGCCAAGCCAUUGUCAAGGAAGUUGGAUUAUGAAUUAUGGGAAAAAAAUACCAAGUAAUUCAUUGAUGGAUGUAUUCCAUUCCGAAUAAGAAAUUUCUGGUGAUACAAUUUUUUGUGCAAGCAAAUAAAUACGAUAACAUGAUUGAUAGAUGAUAAAUAAGAACAUAGUAAAUAAGUAAAUUUUAGAUAAAAAUGUAUAUGAGUCAAGAGAUCAUUUAAAUCUACCAACUCUUUACCUUUGAUGGCAUACUUGUAUACAUGGUAAAUUCUUUUUGGAAAAAUUUACAAUGACAUUCAUGGAUCACUAUAUAUAUUAUUUAUGGGAACUUGUAAAACACAAAGAUUAGAAGCAUAUAUAUGCGGCAUCAUUUGAGUAGGAUAUAUGCUGCAAAUUACCUCUAGCUAGUAAUUCCAUUUUGUAUUUGC
rnacentral:lncRNA from 1 species